CCCUUAGAUGUUCUGGGCCGCACGCGCGCUACACUGACGAAUGCAACGAGCUUAUAACCUUGGCCGAAAGGUCUGGGUAAUCUCCAAAUUUCGUCGUGAUGGGGAUAGAUUAUUGCAAUUAUUAAUCUUCAACGAGGAAUGCCUAGUAAGCGCAAGUCAUCAGCUUGCGUUGAUUACGUCCCUGCCCUUUGUACACACCGCCCGUCGCUCCUACCGAUUGAAUGGUCCGGUGAAGCGUUCGGACCGUGGCCUUUGGACGGUCCGCCGUCUGUUGGCUGCGGGAAGUUCGUUAAACCUUAUCAUUUAGAGGAAGGAGAAGUCGUAACA
rnacentral:rRNA from 1 species